AAAAAAAAAAUUCACAGUCUCCUUAACCCAUCUCACCUUUUCCUCCUUCUUAACCCAUCUCACUUUUCCUCCUUCGCCCAUCUUAGAACGACCUAGGUUUUUCUCUAGGGUUUGGGACCGCUCCGGCGCCAGCCUCCUGAAUUCGCUCCAUUUCGGUGUGGUGGUCAGUGGAGCAAUGGAGGAAGGUCGAGGGAUCGAGCCUCCUUUCUCGAGCGGCCAUGAGGACGAUGAAGGUAGCUCUGUGAUCGAGUCUUCUUUCUCGAGGAUUGUCGCUCUCGAACCUUCAAGUGAUCCCAAGAGUGUCGAGACUAGGGAUUCGGAGAAAUCCACCAAAGAAGACGAUGAGGG